ACCCAUAUCGGGCCCUAAGAAGAUUUGCCGGCACGACAGAGAUUAAAAUCGUUUUAUUUGCAAGCAGAAUCAGAAAUACACUAACGCAGGAACAAGACUAAGAAAAUGCAAGACACCUUAGAUGUUGAAAAGUACAGAACUCCCUAUGAAAGUAAUACAGAAUGGAGAGAAAGGAAAAAGUUUUUAGAAGCACAUCAUGACAAAUUUGAGGAUGAUCGUCUGGUUUGCUUGUCUCAAUGUUAUUUGAAUGUCCGUAUGACUAGUUGUAGGUAUCCAGUAGAAGUCAUGAAACAACUUAGUGAACUAGCCAAAGAAAUGAAUGAAGAAAUCAGCUAAUGAAUAAAGAAUGCAAUGGGAGAUCAUUGGUGUUUGUCAACAGAAUCAACACACAUUUUUGUACUUGAUGAUCAAGCAAAGUUAUGACCUUCUAUAUACAUUUUAGAUAUUCUUACUAACAUGUAUAUAUCAGUUUUUAAAACUUUGAUGUACAAAGUUUUGAAAAUCAAAAGCCUUGAUUGUACUUGUAGACUGUAAUAUAUUGAUGUUAAAAGUACUUUUAUAUCAGUUGAGUAUGAAUUUAGGCAUAAAGUAUAACAAUAUUGAUAUUAUGCAAUAAAAAUACAAUUACCUGA